UGAGUAACCUGCCCUUAACUCUGGGAUAAGCCUGGGAAACUGGGUCUAAUACCGGAUAUGACUCCUCAUCGCAUGGUGGGGGGUGGAAAGCUUUAUUGUGGUUUUGGAUGGACUCGCGGCCUAUCAGCUUGUUGGUGAGGUAAUGGCUCACCAAGGCGACGACGCGUAGCCGACCUGAGAGGGUGAUCGGCCACAUUGGAACUGAGACACGGUCCAGACUCCGUACGGGA
rnacentral:rRNA from 1 species